rnacentral:rRNA from 1 species
CCUACGGGUGGCAGCAGUGAGGAAUAUUGGUCAAUGGACGAGAGUCUGAACCAGCCAAGUAGCGUGAAGGAUGACUGCCCUAUGGGUUGUAAACUUCUUUUAUAUGGGAAUAAAACGUUCCACGUGUGGGAUUUUGUAUGUACCAUAUGAAUAAGGAUCGGCUAACUCCGUGCCAGCAGCCGCGGUAAUACGGAGGAUCCGAGCGUUAUCCGGAUUUAUUGGGUUUAAAGGGUGCGUAGGCGGGUUGUUUAGGCAGUUGUGAAAGUUCGCGGCUCAACCGUACAAUUGCCGUUGAAACUGGGAGUCUUGAGUGCAGUAGAGGUAGGCGGAAUUCGUGGUGUAGCGGUGAAAUGCUUAGAUAUCGCGAAGAACUCCGAUUGCGAAGGCAGUUCACUGGACUGCAACUGACACUGAGGCUCGAAAGUGUGGGGAUCAAACAGGAUUAGAUACCCUUGUAGUC